UAAUACGUAGGAGGCGAACGUUAUUCGGAUUUACUGGGCGUAAAGGGAGCGCAGGCGGAAGAGUAAGUUAGAAGUGAAAUGUACAGGCUCAACCUGUAACCUGCUUUUAAUACUGCUUUUCUUGAGUAUGGGAGAGGAAGAUGGAAUUCCAGGUGUAGCGGUGGAAUGCGUAGAUAUCUGGAAGAACACCAGUUGCGAAGGCGGUCUUCUGGACCAAUACUGACGCUGAGGCUCGAAAGCUAGGGGAGCGAACAGGAUUAGAUACCCUGGUAGUCCUAGCCGUAAACGAUGGACACUAGAUGCUGGGAGUGUUGUGCUUUCAGUGUCGAAGUUAACGCAUUAAGUGUCCCGCCUGGGGAGUACGCUCGCAAGGGUG
rnacentral:rRNA from 1 species